GAUGUCAAAUCAUCAUGCCCCUUACGUCCUGGGCUACACACGUACUACAAUGGCGGCCAUACAACGGGUAGCGACAUAGCGAUAUGAAGCCAAUCCCCAAAAGCCGUCUCAGUUCGGAUCGCAGGCUGAAACCCGCCUGCGUGAAGUCGGAAUUGCUAGUAAUCGCGGAUCAGCAUGCCGCGUCGAUACGUUCCGGCCUU
rnacentral:rRNA from 1 species